AUGAUGGAGCAAUGAGGAGAUAGGGAAAGAUCCGAUACAUACCUGAUUUAAGAUAAAAUUUUAUCUUACUGAGCAGACUAGAUUCGAUCGGCUACAAGUGGAGGGCUGAUGGAGGAAUCCUGAAGAUUUUGCAUGAUGAUAGGAUGAUAUUGGAGGGAAAAAAAGGACAAGAGGACAUUACUACCUAAUGGGGAGUCCAG
rnacentral:lncRNA from 1 species